UGGGCCCUUAGCUCAGCUGGGAGAGCGCUUGCUUCGCAUGCAAGAGGUCGACGGUUCAAAUCCGUUAGGGUCCAU
rnacentral:tRNA from 1 species